CUAAACCCUAGUUCGACGUCGACCAAACUCUCGACACCGAUCUCAGAUUGCGUCGCUCUCGCUCAAACCUAGCUAGCGAUGGCGACGACAGCAGCGACGGCGACGUCGAUGAUUGGAGCGACGAAGGAUCCGAAGGUCUAGAUCCUCGGGUACGAAUUCCGAGGGCUGGGAUCGGCCGGAUCGAUCCCGAUCGGGAGAUCGGCUAGGGUUUCGCCGGUGCCCUCUUCGUCCUCGAGCGCCAUCACCGUUGUUGCCACCCUUAUGAUGAGGGUGCCGAUGAUUUGAAUAGAGGAUCUUCUCAUCAACCUUUGACUCAGGGGAUGAAGGAUGCGAGAUUGAUGUUUUGAUGGGCUCACUAAAGUUGAAAACCAAGGACUUCGGCAUAUUUUCCUCUCUCUUUGGUUAAGAUUCUCUAUAUAAAAUUGAUUGUCAUAGACUUUGUUGGUUAAGAUAUUCUAUAUGAAAUUAAUUGUAAUGGACUUUGUUGGUUAAGAUUUUCUAUAUGAAAUUGAUUGUAAUAGACUUUGUGACUAGAAAUGGAUUAUACUUUACAUGAGGUUAUGAAUAACUUGCAAGUCCAAGACCAUGUAAGAUUAUACGCAAAUUAGAGUCAUUGUAAAUUUGACUAAAUUUUCUUGAGUUAAGAUUGUACAAACAUGUUCGGUAACUUGUAAUUUUUUUGAAAAUAUGAUAGAAUCACAAUUUAAUUUAAUUAUUUUUUUUACAAAUUAUUUAAAAUCUAAAUCUAAUUCCAAAAAGUAUGAAUUAAAAUUAUGUUGUGAUAAUUUUCUUUCUCUUUUUCUCAUAAAGGUAACCAAACAAGAGAAAACGACUUUCUUAUGAAAUUUCUUCUAAUUUUCCUUACAAUAUUAUUUCUAACCAAACAAUAGAAAGAAUAUCAUUUUCUUUUCCUUUUCUUUUCCUUUCUUUUUACUUUCUUUUUCCUUUUCUUUUCUCUCCCUUUCUCUCAAACCAAACACGACCUAAGGGAUGAUAAGAAGUCGUCUACAAAUGAAGAUGAUAAGAAGUUGCCUACAAAUCAAAUUUCGCGUGUGACUUAUUAAUGCAGUAACACUGGUUGUCAAUGCAAUGUCCUUCGGUGUAGUUUGCCCUGAUGCAAGCCUCGUUGCAGUAGCGAAACAUUUGGCAAGUACCCAAGUUGUAAGAUCCUUCCCCAUCGCUCACACCACGGCCUCCACCCGUAACUACGACGAAGAGAGAACAUAAUUACUUUAUCAUCAGAGUAGAACUCUGUAAGGUUUCACGCAGCAUACCUACCUGCUGUUGAAAUUAACAAAGCCAACAGUGUGAUGGUAACUGGGAGCUUGAGAAGGGAAGCAGAACGCUUGGCGACCAUUUCUUGCUAAACUUCCCCUGCAGUACUUGGCCAUGAGAGUAUCCCGGGCAUUUAUAGGGUUAAA